AGAAAACAUGACAGAAAACAAAGCUCUCUGCUGAGAAAGUGUGAGGGCAGGUGGUUUGCACCUGGCCUGCAUAGGGAUGUUGUGGCUGCUUUGUUCUUCGAGGCACACAAAUCGGUCCCUCCUUCUGAGGCCUUCCAGGAUGCGCUUUUGAGGUUCACAGAACAGGCUUUGGAGCUACAGCUAGGAAAGCGGAGAGAUCAGUGGCCAGAACCUGGGGAAGGGGAGAAGGGGAGGCUGAAACUCAGUGGACGCAAGAGGAGGAGAAGGGCCCAGGGACCUGAGGCGUUUGGAGUGGACAAGCCCUCCUGUCUGUUUGCACAGCACCGGGUGCAGGUCUCAGGGGCAGCCGCUGGACCCGCGUCUCACUGCUUCUCUGACAUUCGCACCCUGCCCACGCCUGCCUGCGGGCUCAGUCACGUCCUCCUCGUCGGCUGCGUCCCCCACGCACGCUGCGUCAGCCUCCCAAGAUUCAGGUCAGCUUACAGUAGGAACACGUUCUUCACGGAUUCACCUUUAGACAGUCAUUUCUCUGCAAGCAGAGGCAAGGCUGGAUGCUGACUCAGGAAUGCUUGUUCCAGCAGAACUGGGAGGUUGAAAACCUGCGUUCUCUCCACCAGCUCCUCACCUGUGGGCCAAGAAACCAAGGGACCUCAGCAGUCUCAUCAUGGGUAUGCAGGAGCCUUCUGUCCCCUCUUACCUGUACCCCAUCUUUGUAUCACUUUUGUGCUAAUUUUGCAAAUGUAUCAACGCUAAGUAAAUUUGAAUAAG
rnacentral:lncRNA from 1 species